rnacentral:rRNA from 1 species
UUAAGUUAAUAAGGGCGCACGGUGGAUGCCUUGGCACUAGAAGCCGAUGAAGGACGUGACUAACGACGAAAUGCUUUGGGGAGUUGUAAGUAAACAUUGAUCCAGAGAUGUCCGAAUGGGGGAACCCGGCAUGUAAUGCAUGUCACUCAUUACUGUUAAGGUAAUGAAGAGGAAGACGCAGUGAACUGAAACAUCUAAGUAGCUGCAGGAAGAGAAAGCAAACGCGAUUGCCUUAGUAGCGGCGAGCGAAAUGGCAAGAGGGCAAACCGAUGUGUUUACACAUCGGGGUUGUAGGACUGCGACGUGGGACGACAAGAUUAUAGAAGAAUUACCUGGGAAGGUAAGCCAAAGAGAGUAACAGCCUCGUAUUCGAAAUAGUCUUUAACCCUAGCAGUAUCCUGAGUACGGCGAGACACGAGAAAUCUCGUCGGAAUCUGGGAGGACCAUCUCCUAACCCUAAAUACUCUCUAGUGACCGAUAGUGAACCAGUACCGUGAGGGAAAGGUGAAAAGCACCCCGGGAGGGGAGUGAAAUAGAACCUGAAACCGUGUGCCUACAACAAGUUCGAGCCCGUUAAUGGGUGAGAGCGUGCCUUUUGUAGAAUGAACCGGCGAGUUACGAUAUGAUGCGAGGUUAAGUUGAAGAGACGGAGCCGUAGGGAAACCGAGUCUUAAUAGGGCGCAUUAGUAUCAUGUCGUAGACCCGAAACCAUGUGACCUACCCAUGAGCAGGGUGAAGGUGAGGUAAAACUCACUGGAGGCCCGAACCAGGGCACGUUGAAAAGUGCUUGGAUGACUUGUGGGUAGCGGAGAAAUUCCAAACGAACUUGGAGAUAGCUGGUUCUCUCCGAAAUAGCUUUAGGGCUAGCGUCGAUGUUAAGUCUCUUGGAGGUAGAGCACUGUUUGAUUGAGGGGUCCAUCCCGGAUUACCAAUCUCAGAUAAACUCCGAAUGCCAAUGAGAUAUAAUCGGCAGUCAGACUGCGAGUGCUAAGAUCCGUAGUCGAAAGGGAAACAGCCCAGACCACCAGCUAAGGUCCCAAAAUAUAUGUUAAGUGGAAAAGGAUGUGGGGUUGCACAGACAACUAGGAUGUUAGCUUAGAAGCAGCUAUUCAUUCAAAGAGUGCGUAAUAGCUCACUAGUCGAGUGACCCUGCGCCGAAAAUGUACCGGGGCUAAAACAUAUUACCGAAGCUGUGGAUACCUUUUAGGUAUGGUAGGAGAGCGUUCUAUGUGUGAAGAAGGUGUACCGUGAGGAGCGCUGGAACGCAUAGAAGUGAGAAUGCCGGUAUGAGUAGCGAAAGACAGGUGAGAAUCCUGUCCACCGUAUGACUAAGGUUUCCAGGGGAAGGCUCGUCCUCCCUGGGUUAGUCGGGACCUAAGGAGAGACCGAAAGGUGUAUCCGAUGGACAACAGGUUGAUAUUCCUGUACUAGAGUAUAUAGUGAUGGAGGGACGCAGUAGGCUAACUAAAGCGUGCGAUUGGAAGUGCACGUCUAAGCAGUGAGGUGUGAUAUGAGUCAAAUGCUUAUAUCUCUAACAUUGAGCUGUGAUGGGGAGCGAAGUUAAGUAGCGAAGUUAGUGAUGUCACACUGCCAAGAAAAGCUUCUAGCGUUAAUUAUACUCUACCCGUACCGCAAACCGACACAGGUAGUCGAGGCGAGUAGCCUCAGGUGAGCGAGAGAACUCUCGUUAAGGAACUCGGCAAAAUGGCCCCGUAACUUCGGGAGAAGGGGCGCUGGCUUUAAGUCAGCCGCAGUGAAUAGGCCCAAGCAACUGUUUAUCAAAAACACAGCUCUCUGCUAAAUCGUAAGAUGAUGUAUAGGGGGUGACGCCUGCCCGGUGCUGGAAGGUUAAGAGGAGCGCUUAGCAUUAGCGAAGGUGUGAAUUGAAGCCCCAGUAAACGGCGGCCGUAACUAUAACGGUCCUAAGGUAGCGAAAUUCCUUGUCGGGUAAGUUCC